rnacentral:lncRNA from 1 species
UCUGGACCGAGCCGACGAGCCGCAAUCAGCACUUGCGGCUAUUUGUUGUCAACGAUGCAGAGUCAGGAUAGAUCUUCAUGGGCACAACAAACAUCCGCAGAAGCUCAGCGGCGUUGCGG